CCACCUAAGGUUCAUAACCUAAAGCUUUGAUACCAACCUGUGACACCCCCAAAUCCGGGUACUUCAUUCCCACAGGAUUUGGUGCUCACUAUCUAAAAUAAUUACUUCUAACUACCCAUAAUCAAGGAUAAAGACAUAAAUUAAACAACUUAAAUAAUAAUCCUCCCCAUUAAAGGGUUACAUCAAACUUAAAAUAAAUCUUAGGUAAUCUAACCUUAAACUAUUACAUAAGUUUGCGGAAUACAUCACAAAAUAAAAUAAGUCUCAUAACAGAAUUUUAUUAAAUAAAAUCAAACGAGACUUCAUCCCUUGGACAUCUUGCCCUUGCCUUUGCUAGAAGACGGUUCGUCAACUUUCUUAACUUUAGCUGCAGUGUUAAAUGCAAAAGUGAGCAAACAAUUGCUCACUAAUAUAAUGAUGACAAUAACAAUAACAUAAGAGUAAGCAAUGAAUACUGAAUAAUUAAGAACUCGUUCUUUGAAUCAAGAUUAGUAAACAAGUUCGAGAUUUAUAUCUGAGGGUCUUAAGACCAUGAACUAUGUCCCAAGGUUAUUAAGUAUUUCUAUUUCAACCUUUAACAGUCGUUAGACUAUAUAGACCUUUUCUUUCGUACUUAGGGGGAUCAACCCUUCAUACCAUGUAUUGUGCACAAACAUCUAAACGCUAACGCGUACAUAUAAUCCCCUAUAUUAGGGUUGUUCAUCUCAGUUUGACUUUAGAAUUUUCGCACUAAAAAAAAUUAGCUUGGAAUAGCUUAACAGUGAUUUUAGAAUUUUAGAACACUUAUCGAUUAUGGAUUAGUCCAAUAAAUAAAGAUUUAUUAGCUAUUCGAAGGUUCAACAUGAUAAUAAAAGAUUGAACAAUGAUACUUAAGUCAAAGAUUGAAUAUCAACAAUAUAAAAUUGAAUAGACAUGGUAUAUACAAAGUAUUACAUCCAAAAGAGUUAGAAAACUCAUUUGGGACAAUGAACUUGAACAAUUUAUGCUUUGAAGAGCAAGAAAAAAAAGUUAAGAACUUGCUCAAUAAAAGAUUCAAGUUUUAGAAAUUUGCAUAACGAUAUCAAGUUAGGAAUAUGAAACUUGCUCAAGGUAAAAGAAUUAGAAUACAAGAGCUUGUAGAAUGAAAAAUUGAGGUCAGGGAACUUGCCUCGUGCGUAAGCUACUCAAGUAUAAUAAAUGUUCGCCAAAUACCCUACAUAUACCAUUAGGAUCACAAUACCAAUUAGUUAUAUUAACAUUAACUUCAUUGGUUUACUUCUCAUUUUAGUCAAGUCUAUAAUCUUUAACUUAAGAUCUGAUUAUCCUAAUCAUUCACGUACCAUAACUUGAACUCCCAAUUAUAUUAUAGUAUACGACAUGAUGAUUGAAAAACAACUCCAAUUCUCAUGACAUCACAUUAUGGUCUUUCACAACUUAUUAAUUCAUAACCUAUAGUUUCAACUUUGUGAUUACAAUAUGUUAUUAUGUCUUAUAACAUGUUUUAGGUUUCUCUACAAUCAUUAAAAUAAGUUAAGUUAACAUUUUCUCAGCUAUACUGUUAAUAGUUCAUUACUGGGUUUACUAGACCACUGGCGCGGCCGCGCCCUGUCUACCCUUGAAUCCAGCGUGCCCGCGCUCGACUCCAGAUUCAGUUUUCCAAAACACCAAUUCAGACUCUACUCUAAACCAAAAUUCCAAUUUCUUCACCCAACACCAAAUUAACCAAACCCAGAUGUUUAUAAGCUUUAUAAACUCAAAACCAUAUAUUUAUAAAGCAAUUCUAAAAUCACAAACCACUUUAACAACCAAUUUUAAGGACUCAAUUUUCAAGUUCAUACCAAUUUUCAUUGUUUUAUCAUACACAACGAAAUCAGUCACCACUACUUCGAUUUUCAACCAUUUUGAUUUGUUCAAAUUACAUUAUUUUUGUAUCACAUAGUUCUACCAUAAACAACCAUGAAUCUACAAUUUACAGCCUAAUUUUAUACUAAUUUUUAACUCUAAAACAACCAUAAUACACAUAUUACAACCAAAACUCAAAUUCCUCUUCUUCAACAUAUUUACACGAAUUUUGAUCACUUCAACAUCAUUUAUAAACUACAUAUAACAGAUUAUACACUAUCCAUAACAUUCAUAACAACUAUUUUAACCAAUCAUUAACCAAACUUUCCCUUUAUCCUAAGAAAACUCAAGAACACAAAACAUGAUUUUUCAUAAAUUUCAACCUCUGAAAAUUGUUUGUAAAUGAUAACCAAGGAUUACAAUAACUAAUUAACACAUAUCCUCCAAAUUCUCACAAAUUAGCCAUAGAAACUCUAGAAACAUACAACUGAAAAUAUGAAUUUAGAUUAUACAUUGAAUUCCUUGUUAACAAGAUGAUAGAAUAGCUUUGAAAAAACCUUCUUCCUCCCCUAACCCUUAUCAAUAUAUAGAGAAUACUCUCAAUUUCCUCUCUUGCUCUCUCUCAAUUACUCUCUAAACUUUAUUUUCUUCCUCUCUAUACUCUCUGUUCCUAGCCUUUAGGAAAAACACGUAACCCACUAACACUGAUAUAACAUCGUGCGCCAUCUAAAGUCACCAGGUAAAAGAAACCAAUAGGUUCAGCUGUUACAAAGACCAAGAGACACAAAACUAUGUUUGGCUAGUCUCAAAUAUCCCACUUUAGUUUAUUUUUAUAUUUCUUAUAUUAUAUAGUUCUUAUGUCACACCCAUAAUACAAGUAAUUUAAUUAAAUUUAUAAUUUAAAUUAACAUUUGCCUUAUAAUUAUAAUUUCCAUUAUAAAUUAUAAUUUUAUUCCAUAACUAAUAAAUCUCUAAUUUAAUUAUUAAAUUAAAUUAGAACAAAAUUAUAAUUAUUUAAUAAUUCAUUUAAUUUAAUUAUCUCAUUAAAUUAAAUCUUCAAAUCAUAAAAUUACCAUUCAUUAAUUUAAUUAUUAUAACAAAUUUUAACUAACUUAUUACACCAUAAUUUCAUCAAUUAUUUAUUUAUCUCAAUAAAUAAAUCAAUUAAAAUAUUUAUUUAAUUCAAUAAAUAUUUUUAAAUUACACAAAAAUUCUCAUUCGUUACAGCUGCUACUGCUGCUGCGACCGCUUCAUGCUGCUGUCAAUUUUUGUUUUUAUCUCUUCCUUUAUCCGUCUAAAUGGAUUAUAGUUUUGUUAUAUAGUCCACACACUUGCUUAUUUGAAAUUUGGACUUGAUGGGUAAGCUUUUAAAUUACACCACAAAGUCAAAAAUGGCUCAUCCAAAACUGCCAUAGCAGUUGUUUGCUAUAAUCUGCUGCUGCUCUAAAACAGUAGCCCUUUUGCCUCUUGCUUUAGGAAAUUUGUAUUCUUCCUAUGUCUUUUAUUUUCUAUAACCUCAUUAGUUGGUUAUAUAUGUUUUAUAUUCUUACUUUUGUAGAGAUAUUAACUCAAGUUUUUAUGGGCAUCUCAUCAUAUUACAAAACAACUUAUUAAGGUUGUUAACACUGCUCUAUAUGCUUACUACUGCUGCCGAGGCAGCAGCAGCCCUGCACCAAGCCCAACUUUCCCUUUUCUUUCCUUAGAAACUUUUGAUGCACUAAUUUGCUUAGGCCUAAUUUGUUUUUGGGGUAAUAAAGUUACCAUAUUAGUCUAUCUUAAAAACAUAUUAGCCUUGAACUUCAAGUUCAUUUUACUGUCCAAAACAGUUUGUCAAAAUGGCUUGACAUAAUAUGAUUCAACUUUUCCAUUUGGCCUAAUAUUGUAGUUUGUCUAAUCCUAAUAAUUUUAAACUUACUAAUUACCCUCACAUGUGUUGUCUCAACCAAACCCAAACUACAAUUCUUUCUAGAAUCCAUUUUCAAUCAAGACAGUCCACUUGGGACUUUUAAUAAACAUGUGGUGUGCACAGUUUUAAUUCCCUCUUUUCAUAGCCGUUUACUUGUGUUAUAAACCGAUUUUUAUCCUCCUUAUUACUCCUCAGCCCAGCCUAGCCUCUCUCCUUGUGCCUAAAUUCAGUUCAUAACAGUCAAAUAUACCAUCGAAUAUAUGUAUAUUAAAGUAAUUGACAACUACUUAGCUUAUAAAUUAGUUAGUUCACUAAUUAUCUUACCUUCAUCUUUCAACAUAAUCUCAGCCACUACAAUAGGAAUACUAUCAUAGUCAAUUUUGGGUAACAGUUUUAGGCAUAGCAAUUCAUUAAACCAUUAUAUGCAUAAGUAACUAAUCAUUACAACCUAGUUAGUUUACUUCUAUAACAAAUUCCAACCCCUUUGAAAACAAACAUAUUAAGCAAUAUCUCAGUUUCCUUCUUGAUGAUUAUUAUAGCUAUAAUUAGUUAUUAACAUUUCAGUUAACCUCUUUUAUCCCGACUUAGAUAUUCUAAGCAUGACCUUAGUAUAACAAGAUAUAAUCAUCCUAUGCUAAAGGCAAAACUGACCUUUAAGCACCUUUGCAUUCAUAGAAUUACAAUGUAAAAAAUAUGGGCAUAAGAUUAUACUUGACUGCACUCCUUUUUUAACACAGUUGACACCAACAGUCCAUUCACAAACAUUUUAUCAAGCAGUUGGGGUGCAGUCUCUAUUUUCCCAUGUUGAUCAUAAAUAUAGGCAUGCCUGCUACUCCUAGUGGUAUCAUAUAUUAUAGAUAACACCAUAUGCUGUUGGGUGUGGAUCCUCACCCAUGAGAUAGAAUCCAAGAUAGAAAAGAAUUAAUUUUCUUUGUGAACAAGUAAGUGCGUUUACUUGAUAUUAAUCCAAUUAGAAAUUGGGUUAGUGGAAGCAAUAUUGGAAUUGGAGAUUCCAUGAAAAAAAUCCAAGUUGAAAAAGGAUUUACUUGUUAGAUUGGUUGGUGACCAAGACAAGGAGAUGUGAACCCUAAUUUGAUUAGGAGAAUAAAUUGUUUCUAAUCCAUAAUAGGAAUGGAUUAGGAAGAGUACUAUAAAUAAGCCUAUGAGGGAGUCUUAUUUGAUAUAUAUGAGAGAAGCUUGGUAGCAAGAAGGUACCAAAAGAAUAAAUUGAGAGAAUUACAGUUUGUUGUUCGUGGAUAUCCGCCGCCAUCUCCGUUCAAUUGAAAGCUUGAAGACUUUAUUGUUUGAGGUAUUUUUGGGUGGUGAAGUUAAUUAGUUUCUCAACCUAAUUAAAGGUAAAUUUGUACUAUCUCAAUUUAUUGUGUAACCUCAAGUUUAGGAUUAUUGUAAGCCCAUUAUUAGUGAUAUAGUGGAGAUUCGGAGUUUGACCCGUGGUUUUUACCUCUUAGUUUUAGAGGGUUUUUCACGUAAAUUUGGUGUCUUUCUUGCGGAUGGUUAUUUGUUAUUUUUGUUCUCAUAAUUGGUUUUGUUGAUUUCAUAUUUAAUUGCACAAAGACGGAAAAGUAAUUCUUGGGAUAGAGAUUAUUUUUAGCAUACUUUUCCCAACAGUGCCACAACAAUACAACAACAACAUGAUAGCCAAAUUAAUCCUAUACAGUUAAGGGUGUAAACGAGUCGAACCGGAGCGAACAGAGAGCUACUCAAAUUCGACUCGAAAUGAUAAAUUCAUACUCGAAUUCAGCUCGAAUUCGAAUUAUAUUUGAAAAAUCCUACUCAGAUUCGACUCAACUCGAAUAUUUAUUACUCGAAUUCGAUCCGACUCGACUCGACUCGAAUAUUUAUUCAAACUACUCGCAAGCUUUAAAUUUAAGCUCGAAUUCGAGUCACCACAUAAUAACUAGUUUUAUAAUAAAUGUAAUUAUAAAUUGAAUUUGUUAUUUUACUUAAAAAUGAGAAAAUAUAUUUAUUAUUACAUUUUAUACAUAUAAAAUCACAAUUAAAAUUAAAAACAAUAAAUAAUAACUAAUUAUCCUAAUUUGAUUUAAAUUUGUAUAUAUUAUAAGAGAAUGUAUCGAACAUCUAAUCGAAUAUGUAUUAACCGAGUAUGUAUCGAAUCACAAUAAAAAAUUCGAGUAGUUUGAAUUUUAAACGAGUCGAGUAUAACUUUGCUCAGAUUCUACUCAUAUUUUUAUUCAAACUAUUUUUAAUGCUCAGAUUUGGAUCAUAUUAUUAACGAAUCCGAGUCUCGCUCGUAUUUUUUCGAGUCGAGCCCGAACUGUGUUGGCUCGUUAACAGCCUUAUAUACAGUUAACAUAUCAACUCAAAAGAAAAAUUUUAAUAUGACAGUCUUCAAUUCAAUUCUCAGCCAUCCGACCACUAACAGUCCAUCUUUGCUCAUUACCAAUGGAAUAGAAAAAGAAGGGAAGGAGUUAAAAUAGAAUUACCUUGCUAGCUUCUAAAGUUCAGGUAGUUUACUUUCCUCCCUCUCUAGCCGCAAAUUCUGCAACAAAGUAUAUACCACCCAAUUCCUUCUUGAAUGGCUGGGUGGAGUGAGGGUGAGGGGCUACUUUUAAUGGCAGGGCUAUCACCUCCUACUGGCAGUCCUAUUAGCCUCUAGUUGGCCUCUACUCAGCCACCCUACCAAGCUGUAAGCAAUCACUCCUAGUCUAGUUCACUUGGCCCCUAUGGGACCUGUCAGACCAUAGCUACUCUGUUACAUCUUAUCCUCUGCAAAUCUAUCCCACGUGCUUGCUGACUGCUAACUGAACUAACUUACUAACUAGGAACUAACUUAGAAUUCGUAUAACUUGCUAAUUGACUGAGUGCUCAAGCCAUCUCACUGCUUUCUUAAUUGGUUUAAAACAGUUCUCUUGCAUUACAUCAUUUGGUUUACAGGAUUGGGGCAAGGGGAAAAAGUGUGACAAUUUUUAAUUUGGGUUUAAACCAACCCUCCCUCUUUAACAAUGUAGCUGCCAAAUUGGG
rnacentral:lncRNA from 1 species